UGGCUUCUAUUAGGUUAAUGCAAAAGUAAUCGUGAUUUUGGCCAUUGCUUUCCAUGGCAAAAACCGCAAUUACUUUUGCACCAACAUAAUA
rnacentral:miRNA from 10 species